rnacentral:rRNA from 1 species
AUUGAACGCUGGCGGCAUGCUUUACACAUGCAAGUCGAACGGCAGCGCGGGGGCAACCCUGGCGGCGAGUGGCGAACGGGUGAGUAAUACAUCGGAACGUGCCCAGUUGUGGGGGAUAGCCCGGCGAAAGCCGGAUUAAUACCGCAGUACGACCUACGGGUGAAAGCGGGGGAUCGCAAGACCUCGCGCAAUUGGAGCGG